UUGAGGAUGACACUCUAUACAGAACUGAAAUUGAUUCUACAAUCGUUGAAAGACCUAUUGUGAGUCAUGUCGCUGACGACUUUAUUGACGUUGAGGUGAACAAUUGUCACAUCAAAGCAUACAAGUGACGACAAAUGAUAUUUCGAUGAGACAGAUGUGAUUGAGUUCAUUGAGGAUCUAAAUAACAAUGUCGGAGGGUCAUCAUCGAUGGAUGACAAUUCGAGUGAGUCUAAUGGUACAUUAACUCACAAUUAUUUGAACUUAUUUCUCACAUUAACUUGUUGGUUUAAUUUAUUCAGCAGAAACUAGUCAACCAUCUUUGACUCCUAGAAGACAUGUGCAGUCUCAACUCCUGAAGUUGGAGUGUUACGUUCAUGCCAAUGGGAGGAAUUCAAUAUCCAUAUCCUCUGACGUAGAGAAGCCUAUUUCACCAUACAUUGUUCGGUUCAGCUAGGUGAUUGACGUGUGUGUAAGAAAGACAUUUCCAAUCUGCUGCCUUAGAUGGACGAAUGUAGGAAGAGAAUACAUUGAGGUCAUCAAAGGUAACCUACAGGUAGGUCCAAUACACAAUUAUGUUUUCAUUUGAUAUGUUUGGUAUUUCAUACAAGAAGCUUCUACUUUGUCAACUUUUCAUUUCAUAUGUUCGAUAUUUCAUAUAAGAAGCUAUGCUUCACCCUUUUUCCAAAAACUCUAAGAAACGAGAUGAAAAUAUGGAAAAUCUCCUUAGAUAAUAAGGAGGUAAGAACUUGGAAGCAGCUAAUCGAGAAAUUAAUGAAAACAUUCUUCACACACCAUGAAAAUGCGAUGGAGGGACAUUAUGUGCUUUCAGUAGAAGGAUAGAGAGAAUAGACACAACGCGUGGAGUAGGUAUAAAUAAUUGGUGAAAGCAUGCCUUUAUCAUGGAAUUCUUGAGUGCAUAUUAGUGGAAGUCUUCUAUUUCAGGCUUAACAAAGUAACACCAACAAACUAUUGAUGUUGUGUUUGUUAGCGAUAUGCUCAAAAGUACAUACAAGAAGAUGAAGAUUACAUUGGGCUUAAUGGCUAGAAAUUAUAAAGAAUGGGAUGACAACGUUUUGACAAAAAUGCAAUGGUGGCAUUACAAGGCCAAAUGACUACCAUGAUUAAUCUACUAAAAUCUAUGGCUUUAUUGCAAGUUAAUGUCGCAGGCUGCUCAACUUAGGCAAUAAAGCAUGUGGAUGAAAAAGGAUGCAUUGGAUGCGACGAAACUUAUAAUGUUGAUGCAUGCCCCACUAAAUACUGAAUCUAUCACAUUCAUCAAUCACAACCCUUACUCUAACACAUACAAUCAAGAUUGGAGAAAUCAUCCCAACUUUGGGUGGGGAGGGAUAGGUUAACAACAUCAAACCCGAUAGGUGGUUAAGGUGAAGAAUGUUGUAAAGAAAUCAUCCACAACAAUAAAUCACACCAUCACUCACUUCAACAACAACAAUCCCACACUACUUCUUUGUUAUCAUCCUCAUCCAUGGAGAACCUCCUCUAGGAAUAUAUGCUAAAGAAUGAUACCCUUUUGUAAAGUCAAGUCAUGUCAAUCAGGAAUCUGGAGUUACAGUUGGGGCAACUAACCAGCGAUUUCUCCAAAAGACCAAAGGGAUCCCUCGCAAGUAGCAUUGAAAUGUCCAACUAGGUGGGGGAAUCCAAAAAGGACCAGUGUCAACCUAUGAUGCUACGAAGCAUAAGAAACUUGGCCAUCUACAAACCAGACCCAAAAUGUAGACCUUUUACUUCUUGGCCUAAUACUAUGAAUGAUUAACCCACAAGUACUAUUUUUUAUCCCUUUGUUAUUUCCAUGAAUCAUGAUGUUCAGAAAAACAAGGAAGUGGCGACUUCUAGGUGAGACACAGAAUACAGGGAGACACUAAAGUAGGCGUCAUCUUAUGAUCAAUUGUAGCCUCAUCCAUUUCUUGGUCGCUUGAAGAAGAAAGAUGACAAACAAUAAUUUAACAAGUUUUUUGACAUACUGAAGCAACUUCAUAUCAAAAUUCCAUUUUUUGAUGUGUUAAGUAAAUGCCUUCACACGUUAAAUUCUUGAAGGACAUACUUGCCAAGAAAUGAAGGAUGAAUAAAUAUGAGUCAGUAGCUCUAAUGCAGGCAAAUAGUGACAUCUUCAAAAAUGGGAUUCCAGAGAAUAUGACAGACCUUGGAAACUUCACUAUGCUCUGCCCUAUAAGCCUAAUGCCACUGUUUAUUUUUCAAAAAAUUGGGGAUAAGAAAGGUAAAACCUACUACACUAGAGCUUAAGUUGGUUAGCAGAUCCAUUGCACUACCUGAGGGAAAAAUUGAAGAUGUCUUGGUUAAGGUGGACAAGUUGAUAUUCCCUGCAGACUUCAUCAUUUUAGAUUAUGAAGCUGAUCGAGAGGUACCUAUCAUUUUAGGAUGACCAUUCAUGUCGACAGGUCAAACCCUAAUUAUUGUCUACUAAGGGAACUAGACGAUGUGAGUUAAUGACCAAGAUGUAAUUUGAACGUUGUUGAUGCGUUAAACUCCCUAAAAAUGUAAUGAACUACAACACAAUUGAAUCCCUAGGUUGGGAUUAUUGUAAUGAAGAAGUCAUAUAGUCAAGCUAUUUAGCUCUGAAAAAUUCGUUGAAGAGUUCCCUAAAGGUGUCCUUGAGGAAGUAAAUGUCAUGUCUGAUGUAAGAAAGUUUGAGCCUUUGGAUUUGCAAACCAAAGGUAAUUAGAAGAUAAAGUCAUCAAUUAAAGCGCCACCAAAAUUAGAGCUCAAGUCAUUACCAACCCACCUGAACUAUGCAUAUUUGGGGGAAAAUGACACUGCCAGUCAUCAUCUUCGCCCACUUGAAUGCUGAAGAAGAGAAGGUGUUAAUGGAAAUGUUAAAAUGCCAUAAAAAAGCGAUAGGAUAGACCCUACCGAACAUUCAAGAAAUAAGCUCAUCCUAGACAUGCAUUAGAUCAGGUUGGAAUAUGGGCACAUUGGCGUCAUUCAAUAUCAAAGGCGAUUAAACCUUGCGAUGAAAGAAGUUGUAAAGAAAGACAUCAUCAAGUGGCUGGAUGUAAAAGUAAUUUAUCUUCACUUGUACUGAAUGGUUCAGCCCAGACCAAUGUGUGCCCAAGAAAGGUGGAAUUACUGUCAUUACUAAUGAAGACAAUGAAUUGAUUCUAAUGGGAACAGUCACUGGGUGGAGGAUAUAUAUGGAUUACUGCAAGUUGUAUGACCAUUUCACAUACCUUUCAUUUAUCAAAUGUUGGAUUGGCUUGCAGGAAAUAAGUAUCGUUGCUUUCUGAAUGGUUAUUUUGAGUAUAACCAGAUAACAAUUGCACUAGAAGACCAACACAAGGCGACCUAUCCCUCUGGCACGUUUACCUCUCGUUGCAUGCUCUUUGGACUGUGCCAACACACCAGGAAAAUUUCAAAGGUGCGUGAUGGAGAUAUUUCACAUAGUUAAAAACAAAGUAACAAAUAAAGCAAAUUUCAAAA